rnacentral:tRNA from 1 species
ACACGCAUAGUUUAAUGGUAAAAUGGUUGACUUCCAAUCAAUGGUUGUGGGUUCAAUUCCCACUGUGUGUA